GGUGAACCGAGUGCAAGCACAAGCGAUAAGGGAAAAGGGCACCUCCAUGGUUGACUAAGCAAGUAAUAGCGGGUUUUUUUUUGACGUGUACAGAGUAUAGAAGCGAGUGAACUCGCUAGUUGGCAGCCGCACGUGUCAAGUCACCACCUCCCUUUUUGCUGGUACAGUCGUAGUUUACACGUGGCAUGCUUAGAUUAUCUUUUGGUUGUAAAUAGUUGGUUACAAAUGUAAGGUUAUAACCUUCUUUUUGCUAGUGGAGUUGUAGGUAUGUCUAUAUAAACAGGUUAAUGUUAUUUUGUUAUGUAUAGUAGUAAAUAGUUGUGUUAUCAGGUUUAGUUUCUUUUAUGAUAGUAUUGUAUGUUGAGUGUUGCAAAA